rnacentral:misc_RNA from 1 species
UAAAAUUGCUUGGUUCAUUAUCUUGUAGUAGGGUAACCAAGAUACUUUUCCCUUCUAUCUUGAAUUGAUGUCAGGGAACAUUUCCAUUAUUCGACACAAUUGUGAAUCCUGAGAAACAAGGUCAUUAUCUCCCAAAUUGUUCCCAUUAGGAUCAGAUGGCCUAGGCAAAAGUUAAGUUGCGCUUUCCCUUGGUGGGAUUGGGUCAUCUUG